GGGGGCGUUCUGGUUUCGACGGGAUGUUUGACGCGCUGACUGCACGUGGAGGUUGAUCGGUUGGCCUCCUUAAUAGCCGAUCAAAAAAAAUAAAUGCAAACUCUAACGAGCUCGCACUUGCUGCUUAAUUGACAGCAACGUCUGAACCCUGACGCCUGUUAGGGGGGAAGGCGACACUUAAUAGGCUGGGCAUGAAGUCGGGGGACCGGAUGGAUUGCUGAGAAACUACAGGUCUCUAGGGUCACGACGCUGCAUGCGAGCCGCAGGAUUCCGAAUCACUGAUCGCAUGCUAAACGUGUAGAUGUCUUUGUGAAUGGCGUUCCGGACAGGGGUUCGACUCCCCUCGCCUCCACCA
rnacentral:tmRNA from 2 species